rnacentral:lncRNA from 1 species
GAGAGAAACUCGCAAAGGUUAUGCAGUGGAAAAUCAGAGACUUGUUCCGGACGGGUGUUUGGGUUCUUAUUUUUCCCACCGAGUUUGUGGUGUUGAGUUCAACAGCCAUGCUAGGAAAGCCAGAAGACUGAAAUUCCACAACCUGUGGUAGAUGUUUAAACCCGAAGAGGGUGACGUGUCCCUGAAUUCCUUUUCUGCAGGCCACCUCACCUCCGCUGUAGGUGGAGCAGGUCUGGAAUUGGAGGUAGGGUGCUUGGCAAAGCCUUGUGUGGGCCACUCACUGAGUGCCAAGCGUGACCAAGGUCGUCCAUGCUCAUUCUCUCGUGGCUGUUAGGACUUGACUCAGAAAGUGUUUUCCUCCCCGGUCCCCCAUGUAAAAUUUCUCCCUCCCUCGCAUUCCUGCAACGUAUUUCGUUUCCCUUCCCUGGUUUACUCCUUGCCACAUCUCACGUCUCACCUGUAUCCUUCACUUACCCCGUUGACUAUUCCUCAUCGGAAUGCAAGCCUCACAAAAGGCAGGGGGUUUUGUUGGUGUUGUUCACUGUGUCCCCACUGCCUGUCCAAAAGUAGGCACUCAUGUGAAUAGCCACUGCAUGCCAGCCUGGGCAACAGAGUGAGACCCUGCCUCUAAAAAGAAGUAGUCAUCUGGCCAGACAAACAGGACCAGAGAGGUUGAGCAGUGUGCUCCCGGUCACACAGUGAAGAGGUGGAGAGCCAGGAUGCCGCCCCAAAUGUGCCUUGAACUUCUUAGCUGCUGUUAUACCCCCUCGUAGACUCACUUCAUCCUCACCACCCUGUGAAAUCUCUUUGUACAGCUGCAGAAACUGAGAGUCAGAUGUAAGCCAUUGACCAAAUGAAGUACAGGAGCAGAGCCAGCUGGCAGGUGAGCAACACUAGGCUAUGAAAGCUCUGCCGUUUCGGCUGCGCCACACCCCUCUGGAAAGAGCCCACAAUCCUAGCUCUGUGCCAAGCCAGCCUCCUCGAGGGCUUGCCUUAGGCACGGGUCUCCUACAGUGGGUACCAUGACCACAUCCACUGAGUCCUUCAGAAGCAAGCCCCUGCCCAUUUGUCCUCAGGCUACAAUAACCCAGUCCUCAUCUUGUCUACCUUCUCCCUGCGAUCCUGGUUUUAAACUCAUAUUUAUUCAUUCAACAAGUGUACCUGGUACCAUGCUAAGUGCUGCAGACACAUGAGUGAGCAAAGCUAGGCAAAGCUCCUGCCUGUUAUGGAGCUUAGAGUCCAUUUUCACAAAUGCAUAAUUGCAAACGUGUUUCUGUGGAGGAAGAUGAUAUUAUUUGCUGAGAUGAUACACCCAGGACUCUGACUUGGUCUGGAGGUCACAUGCAGGGAUUCCUUUAGGAUGUGACAUGUGAAAGACAUGGAUAUUUGUUGAGCAAAGGAGCUUGAGGUCAAAGGAAGUGGGUUCUGGGCAAAGGGACACGCAGGCAGGUCCUACAGUAGAAAGGAGCAUGGAUUCUUUAAGGCCCUGCGAGGGUCAGUGUGUGGAGGGCAAGGGGAAGCGGUUCGAGACCACACAGAAAGCUUGGAAGGGCCAGGUCAUGCUGGGCCCUAGCAACAGGUGAAGGACGCUGGCAUAUGUGAGGGGCAGAGGAAAGCCACUGAAGGACUGGAGCACAUUUGUGGUUUUUAAAGGUCACUCCAGGCCAGGCACAGAAGCUCACAUCUGUAAUCCCAGCAUUUUGGGAGGCUGAGCGGGGAGGAUUACCUGAGCCCAGAAGUUUGAGACCAGUCUGGGCAACAUAGUGAGUCCCCAUCUCAACAAAAAAUACAAAAAUUAGCCAGUUAAGGUGGCACACACCUGUAGUGCCAGCUACUCAGGAGGCUGAGGUGGGAGGAUCGCUUGAGCCCAGGAGGUCAAGGCUGCAGUAAGCCGUGAUCACACCACUGCACUCCAGCCUAAGUGACAGAGCAAGACCCUCUCUUAAAAAAAAAUUAAAAAUUAAAAAAGGGGGGGGUGCACAGUGGCUCACACCUGUAAUCCCAGCACUUUGGGAGGCCGAGGUGGGCGGAUCACAAGGUCAAGAGAUGGAGACCAUCCUGGCCAACAUGGUAAAACCUUGUCUGUACUAAAAAUACAAAAAUUAGUUGGGUGUGGUGGCGCACACCUUUAGUCCCAGCUAUUCAGGAGGCUGAGGCAGAAGAAUCGUUUGAACCCAGGAGGCGGAGAUUGCAGUGAGCCAAGAUUAUGCCACUGCACUCCAGCCUGGUGACAGAGCGAGACUC